GGAUGCAUGUGGUACCUUUACGUUGGUCACCUGGAUAAGUACCCCGGAUCCUGUCUGAUCCGGGGAGAAACCAAAUCCACAUGCUUGGUUGGGAUUGGGUCAGUGGUUGGGCCAAUCUUCAGAUACGUCUUGGAUGAAGAUUCUGGCCUACAUGAUCGAUUUCUGAUGCAUGGGUCAGGGGGCCAUCAGAUCAUCGAAUCAUCAGGUCAUCAGACCGCCAGCUUCCUUGAUUGGAUUUGAUGGAUUGACUUGUGAUUUGUAUGGCUCUUCUAUUGAUCAACCUACCUGACUUGAUCAGUGACUGUAUAUUGCAGAUCAUGAAAAGAUGGUUAUUACACUUUGUAUUGUUUCAUUCAAGUCACGCUUGCCAUUAUUAAAUGAAAUCCAAGGUCUUGAAUAAAGUCUUCACUCUCCAGCUGAUUUUACCGUUCGACUUGCUGCUCACUCAUUCCAGGGUCCGGGAAGAUGUCGUCCGUCAAGCCAACCACCACUCUGUUGACCACAUGGGAUUGUCGCUUAAUUGCCGUCAGUGAUGCCCACCACCCAGACCGUAGUCCAAGCCAUGCAUGCUCUCGUGAGUUCGAAGACAAGCUCAGUCUCUUGCAUCCAGCCUUGAAACGGCCCUGCCCAACAUUGAUUGCUCCUCAAUCCAAUCUCUGAAGUGGUGUGAAGGGAUUUCACUUCAAUGUGUGUUUGAGCAAGUCAAGUCCGUACUUGCCUCACCACUCAAUUGGGAAUAUGCCAGCUGGAACCAAGACCAUCCUCCAAACGAUGGGUUCAAGUUCAAGGGCCUUAGGUUUGCACUCUUGCAACGCCAUGAGGGGUCCAGGCUGAUGCCCACCAAACCAAGCUCCAAGCCCACCAUCAAGCCAACCACGCUGUUGACCACAUCUGACUGACGCUUAAUUGGCAAUCAGUGAUGAGCACCAACCAAGAAGAUCUUACUCCAAUCAAUCCAUGCAUGCUUUCAUGCUUGACCGAGUUCGAAGACAAGCAAUCUUUUGGCAUCCAGUCUUGAAACGCCCGGUCCGACAUUGAUUGCUCCUCAAUCCAAUCUCUGACGUGGUAUCAAGUGAUUCUACGCCGUAGGUUCAUCGAGUGGUAUGGAAAAGACCGCGUGUUAGUUUGUGUGUACGAGUUUACCCUGUUGAAUCAAUGGGGAUGCCAUGAGCGCGCCUGGCUGACUUUCAAGCUGAGAUUGAACGGAGUGUGCUGUUGAUACUUUCAGAGGUUCAAGCCUAGCAAAAACAAACACAUUCAAGUGGUCGCCUAUCUAUAUCUCUGUAUAUGCAUAUCUUUAUUUUACCCACUUGUCGGUUUCGAUAGUUUGCUCUUAGUUGAGGGCGAGCCGUGUGAUGUAAAGAAUGCAUUGAUUUGGCCGCAAAAUAAACUGGUUAGAAUAUUA